CCUGUGAGGGUUGCUGGAGGUAUCAGAAGUGCGAAUGCUGACAUAAGUAACGAUAAAGCGGGUGAAAAGCCCGCUCGCCGGAAGACCAAGGGUUCCUGUCCAACGUUAAUCGGGGCAGGGUGAGUCGACCCCUAAGGCGAGGCCGAAAGGCGUAGUCGAUGGGAAACGGGUUAAUAUUCCCGUACUUGGUGUUACUGCGAAGGGGGGACGGAGAAGGCUAUGUUGGCCGGGCGACGGUUGUCCCGGUUUAAGCGUGUAGGUGUGUGUUCCAGGUAAAUCCGGUUCACUUUAACACUGAGGCGUGAUGACGAGGCACUACGGUGCUGAAGCAACAAAUGCCCUGCUUCCAGGAAAAGCCUCUAAGCAUCAGGUAACAUCAAAUCGUACCCCAAACCGACACAGGUGGUCAGGUAGAGAAUACCAAGGCGCUUGAGAGAACUCGGGUGAAGGAACUAGGCAAAAUGGUGCCGUAACUUCGGGAGAAGGCACGCUGACACGUAGGUGAAGUGAUUUACUCACGGAGCUGAAGUCAGUCGAAGAUACCAGCUGGCUGCAACUGUUUAUUAAAAACACAGCACUGUGCAAACACGAAAGUGGACGUAUACGGUGUGACGCCUGCCCGGUGCCGGAAGGUUAAUUGAUGGGGUCAGCGCAAGCGAAGCUCCUGAUCGAAGCCCCGGUAAACGGCGGCCGUAACUAUAACGGUCCUAAGGUAGCGAAAUUCCUUGUCGGGUAAGUUCCGACCUGCACGAAUGGCGUAAUGAUGGCCAGGCUGUCUCCACCCGAGACUCAGUGAAAUUGAACUCGCUGUGAAGAUGCAGUGUACCCGCGGCAAGACGGAAAGACCCCGUGAACCUUUACUAUAGCUUGACACUGAACAUUGAGCCUUGAUGUGUAGGAUAGGUGGGAGGCUUUGAAGUGUGGACGCCAGUCUGCAUGGAGCCGACCUUGAAAUACCACCCUUUAAUGUUUGAUGUUCUAACGUGGACCCGUAAUCCGGGUUGCGGACAGUGUCUGGUGGGUAGUUUGACUGGGGCGGUCUCCUCCUAAAGAGUAACGGAGGAGCACGAAGGUUGGCUAAUCCUGGUCGGACAUCAGGAGGUUAGUGCAAUGGCAUAAGCCAGCUUGACUGCGAGCGUGACGGCGCGAGCAGGUGCGAAAGCAGGUCAUAGUGAUCCGGUGGUUCUGAAUGGAAGGGCCAUCGCUCAACGGAUAAAAGGUACUCCGGGGAUAACAGGCUGAUACCGCCCAAGAGUUCAUAUCGACGGCGGUGUUUGGCACCUCGAUGUCGGCUCAUCACAUCCUGGGGCUGAAGUAGGUCCCAAGGGUAUGGCUGUUCGCCAUUUAAAGUGGUACGCGAGCUGGGUUUAGAACGUCGUGAGACAGUUCGGUCCCUAUCUGCCGUGGGCGCUGGAGAACUGAGGGGGGCUGCUCCUAGUACGAGAGGACCGGAGUGGACGCAUCACUGGUGUUCGGGUUGUCAUGCCAAUGGCACUGCCCGGUAGCUAAAUGCGGAAGAGAUAAGUGCUGAAAGCAUCUAAGCACGAAACUUGCCCCGA
rnacentral:rRNA from 1 species